UAAUGCACUGCCUUUACAGUUCUGGGACCUGCUUUUAAAACACUCCCAUCACAGGAUAAAACUUGUCUUGGAGGACUACAAGGAGAUCUUUGAGGCUUUGCCAUUCCCAGACAAGCAGAGAAUUACCGAUAUCUUUGAUACCAUCCCCAUGACUGUCGCUGGUGUGGUGGGUUACCUGGAGUCAUCUUCUCCAUAUCAAACCUUUAUGAAGAGUGACCCUGAAGCCGCGAAAUCCCUUCUCCAAGAGGCAGAAAAGAGGAUGCUGGAGGUGAUGGGAGUUUCUUCUCGUGAGACCCCAGUGGAGCUCUGGGUGAGGCACGUCUGUGUGCUGGGAUGCAAGGCACAGUGAGAGGAAGCCUGUCCCCUG